rnacentral:rRNA from 1 species
AUUGAACGCUGGCGGCAGGCCUAACACAUGCAAGUCGAACGGUAACAGGAAGAAGCUUGCUUCUUUGCUGACGAGUGGCGGACGGGUGAGUAAUGUCUGGGAAACUGCCUGAUGGAGGGGGAUAACUACUGGAAACGGUAGCUAAUACCGCAUAACGUCGCAAGACCAAAGAGGGGGACCUUCGGGCCUCUUGCCAUCGGAUGUGCCCAGAUGGGAUUAGCUAGUAGGUGGGGUAACGGCUCACCUAGGCGACGAUCCCUAGCUGGUCUGAGAGGAUGACCAGCCACACUGGAACUGAGACACGGUCCAGACUCCUACGGGAGGCAGCAGUGGGGAAUAUUGCACAAUGGGCGCAAGCCUGAUGCAGCCAUGCCGCGUGUAUGAAGAAGGCCUUCGGGUUGUAAAGUACUUUCGGCGGGGAGGAAGGGAGUAAAGUUAAUACCUUUACUCAUUGACGUUACCCGCAGAAGAAGCACCGGCUAACUCCGUG